rnacentral:rRNA from 1 species
AUGACCGUGACCCUGGUGCACCGACGACGGUCGCACUGUGCUCCGUCACGCCUCCGGCGACAUACGCCGAGCUCCUUCUCCGUCGGCGACACACGCCUGGCGUCCCUCCGUGUCACGCCCGUCCCGCACGCAUCCGACGUGCCCGACGAGCCUGACCGCACCAGUGAGUCCCGCACGUCCCCCGCGCAUCUGACACGCCCGACGAGCCCGACAGCACCAGACGCUCACCGCGUGCCCCUCCGCGUCCGCCAUGGCAGCCGCCAGCGACAAACGCCAGAAGGAUGUAGCCGAACUCGAGCACCACGGCGACAUACGCCUCCUCCCAACGUCAACUGCACGCUCGUACGCGCGCCCGCGGUCCCGACGUGUUCGACGCGUCUAGUGCGCACCCAUAACACGCACCGGUCGUGCCCGGCUCGCCGCCGCGUCUUAUUGCCCUGCAUCGCCGCGGCCUCCAUGCCGCCAUGCAGUGCCUCCACGCUACUAUGUUGUGCUGCGCCGCCGCGCCACCACGCAGCGCCUCGGCGGCCUCCGCGGUCGCCGCACGUACGACAUCACCGCCCACCGCAUCCGCCACGCGCCAUGACAGCCACAGCGCUGCCCACCUCCAUGGGCCAACACACGGCCCGGAGCUCCAUCGCGCAUCCGCCACGCGCCAUGACAGCCACAGCGCCGCCCACCUCCAUGGGCCAACACACGGCCCGGAGCUCCAUCGCGCAGCCGCCGGCGAGCGCCGCCAUCACUGCCACGCCUCCGACACGGCAAGCACGCCCGAGACACCAAGCUCAUGAUACCAAUUGUUGGAACCGCAGCCCUCUCUCACUCUGGGCUAGAGGUAGAAGAAGACACAAGACACAAGAAAUUCCGGGCCGGCGCACGAACGCCGCCGUGGGCGCACGCACGCCCUAA